rnacentral:ncRNA from 1 species
GGGUCCGGCGGGUCGCUGACCUCCAGAAAGAACCGGGGGAAAGAACUCCCGCCCACCCACCCUCCCCGGCCGCGCCGCUCGCGUCACUCGUCCGGGUGACCGGCUUGCAGGUGCGGGAUGCGGACGGUUACGUUCGCCGCGACCACCACAAACAGAUACGGCCCCCGGCCGGGACUGGCAUCCCGAACGAGGGCCUAACCGCUCAGGAAGCGAGACCUUCCCG